UAAGGUGGUUAUAGCCAUGGGGCUCACCUCUUACCAUACCGAACAGAGUAGUUAAGCCCAUGAGCGCAGAUGGUACUGCGAGAGCGGGAGAGUAUGUCGCCGCCUUCU
rfam:Sinomicrobium oceani strain CGMCC 1.12145 genome assembly, contig: IQ32DRAFT_scaffold00036.36